rnacentral:rRNA from 1 species
UACGUAGGGUGCAAGCGUUGUCCGGAAUUAUUGGGCGUAAAGAGCUCGUAGGCGGUUCGUCGCGUCGGCUGUGAAAUCCCGAGGCUCAACCUCGGGUCUGCAGUCGAUACGGGCGGACUGGAGUUCGGCAGGGGAGACUGGAAUUCCUGGUGUAGCGGUGAAAUGCGCAGAUAUCAGGAGGAACACCAGUGGCGAAGGCGGGUCUCUGGGCCGAUAUUGACGCUGAGGAGCGAAAGCGUGGGGAGCGAACAGG